CCCAACUCGACCAAAUUAAAAGCUUGGAAGCAGCACUGGGAUGCUUUGAGUCAGGAGGAGAGAAAUGACUUUAACGACCAAUCAAAACUUUGGCAAGUGAGCCGCUGGAUAAUGUGCAAGUACAUGAAAGGAAGAGGUAUCUCGUGAAGUCUGCAAUUAUGUUGAUGGACAGCUUCCAAGAGGUUGGAAUGGAGGGCUACCUGCUCUUAGUUGACCCUAUGGCAAAGGCAAAUGAGUUCAAUUACUUCAGUGGUGGUACUGCUGUUGGGAAAAAAUUCUAAGACUCCACAGAGGGCAGAGCACAGUCAGAUUUUAAUCUCUAUUGCUGUGUUCACACUAGCCUUUUAUGCGCAUCGAAUGCGCAUUAAAGCCUUAAGUCGCUAAAACGCGUCACACUCAAUGCGCAUUAAACCAAAACUAAGCCGCUUUAGCGAAACCGCAUUUCUAAUGCGCAUUGGCUGAAGCGAUAUAACUGACGCGCAUCACAAUUACAAGUGUGACCCACUUUAAUUCGCGUUAAGCAUUGAGCGCGUUAAGAUCGAACAGCGCUUGCGCAGUGCAGUACUUCCGUUUUAUCGCAUGGGGAAAGCAUUUGUGCUUGUCGAUCAGCUUUUACGUUCAUUUUCCGUUUAAUUCUUGAUAUAUCAUGGCAAAAUCUUCGGCAAAAGCAAGAGGGUAAACUUGGGGACGCCAGGAGAGACUGCUGCUAUUGCAGAUCUGGCGGAAUGAAGACGUUGAAGGCCAGGUAGGUGGCCUACACCGUAACAUUAAUGUCUUCGGAGAAGUGGCGAAGCUCCUUCAAAUUCGAGGUGGAUAUGAGCGGACGGCGGAACAGUGCCGCAACAAGUUGAAGGCCAUGCGGCUUGCAUGGUCCAAACAAAACGAUCUUAACAAUAAAUCGGGGACAUCAGGGGGUAGAACGGGUGGAUUCGAUGAGGAGGAGUGGGGUAUCCUCGAUGACGUCCUUGGUCAAAGGCCUAUCCACAACCCCCCAAAUCUUGUGGACACCCUGUCAUUGACGUCAACUCAACCGACUCGGGUAGACCAUGCAGACAGUGAAGAGGAGAGUGAGCGAGAAUCGGAUGUGUCCUUGCUAUCGACCAUGGACACUUCAUCAGGCUCCCUGCAAGAAGACCGAUCUCUCUGGGUUUUCCCAAGGCCUGCCUCCAGUCUGUCCACUGACAGUACUGCUAGGUAUCUACCGAAACUCCUGAACGUGAACCUAAAAUUAACGUUACGUUUCGUCCAGGCUUGUAACCUCGGCUUUGAUUGGUGAGGCAGGUACUUAUCAACAGGGCAGCGCUGUAGUGACGUAGGGCAUGGAAGGUUCACAUCCUGAUUGGUUGUCACCAUGGCCCGCAGACCGCCCACCAAAUUAUUUCGAACAUCUUAUAUCAUGGAUCCGACUUCAGUCUUGCGUAACGUCCACUUCGGGACACUGGCAUUACCUAUUGACCUUUCCUUGUAUAAAUGGCAAA